rnacentral:rRNA from 1 species
AGCAGCCGCGGUAAUUCCAGCUCCAAUAGCGUAUAUUAAAGUUGUUGCAGUUAAAAAGCUCGUAGUUGAACUUCGGGGUUCACCCAUUGGUCAGGCUUAAUUGUCUGUACUGGUGAGAUGAGUCUCUACCUUCUGAGGAACUUUCAUGCCAUUUAUUUGGUGUGGUUGGAAAUCAGGACUGUUACUUUGAAAAAAUUAGAGUGUUUAAAGCAGGCUAACGUCUGAAUACAUUAGCAUGGAAUAAUGAAAUAGGACGGAUUGAUUCUAUUUCGUUGGUUUCUAGGGUCACCGUAAUGAUUAAUAGGGAUAGUUGGGGGCAUUAGUAUUCAAUUGUCAGAGGUGAAAUUCUUGGAUUUAUUGAAGACUAACUACUGCGAAAGCAUUUGCCAAGGAUGUUUUCAUUAAUCAAGAACGAAAGUUAGGGGAUCGAAGACGAUCAGAUACCGUCGUAGUCUUAACCAUAAACUAUGCCGACUAGGAAUCGGGCGAUGUUGAAAAAAUGACGC